CUUUCCUAGAUCUGCAGGAAGUCAAAACUGCUUUCAGAUGAGCUUCGAAGGACCUUGCAUGUCAACUUCUUAUCAGUGGAGCAGGCUUGCACGGAAGAGCAGAAGGAGCUAGCUGCUGCCAGGACAGACGGGGCAGGAGGCAACGCGGCCAGGGGGACAGCGGCACCGCGGAGCUGCUGGAAUUUUCAGUACUUGAGAAUGGGCGCUAGAGAAUGAAAUCCUACCACACAUUUAUCUACAGAUCAGUGUUAAAUGGUUCUGAUCUUCACCUUCAAGUGCUGACAACUGAAGGCCUGAGUGUAUGAAUAAAUUAUCAUCAGGUAAGCUUUUCUGUGGACUU
rnacentral:lncRNA from 1 species